ACCCGGACCGACCGAACGGACGGUACGGUAGCGAGUGUUAGGUUUAAUUCGUAAGCAACGCGAAGAACCUUACCAGGUCUUGACAUCCCGAUGCUAUUUCUAGAGAUAGAAAGUUACUUCGGUACAUCGGUGACAGGUGGUGCAUGGUUGUCGUCAGCUCGUGUCGUGAGAUGUUGGGUUAAGUCCCGUAACGAGCGCAACCCUUGUCCUUAGUUACCAGCACGUAAUGGUGGGCACUCUAAGGAGACUGCCGGUGACAAACCGGAGGAAGGUGGGGAUGACGUCAAGUCAUCAUGGCCCUUACGGCCAGGGCUACACACGUGCUACAAUGGUCGGUACAGAGGGUUGCCAAACCGCGAGGUGGAGCUAAUCUCACAAACCGAUCGUAGUCCGGAUCGCAGUCUGCAACUCGACUGCGUGAAGUCGGAAUCGCUAGUAAUCGUGAAUCAGAAUGUCCACGGUCGAAUACGUUCCGGGCCUU
rnacentral:rRNA from 1 species